rnacentral:lncRNA from 1 species
AUUCUCUAUUUGGGAAACAAUGGGUAGAGGGAUUGAAGCAGGAGAAGUUUCAGAGAAUCACUCUUGCAAGAGAUGCUGCACUCUGGCAGACUCGAUAAUGACAAAUAUGUCAAGCAACUGAGUUUCAGCAGGGUUCCUUCGGGCCUUGUUCACCAACUUGUGGUUUCCGUGGUGACAGGACAGCUGCCAGGUAGAUGGCGGCUUUGGGGCCACCUGACUGGCUCUGACGAUAACUGGCUUUGACAGCUUUGAUUGGAAUGAAAAGAUUUAGGGUCCCUACUGGCUUUCUUAAAUUAAACCCUCCCUCCUGGAGUUAGCUUGUUUAUCAACAUUAUCUUAGAUUAGGGGACUUUCUUGUGAUCAGAGAGUUCUUUUACCACGAUGGUUCACAUGUUGGGGCCACUGGCAGGGUUUCUGAGAUCAGGGUCCUCGGAGCAGCACAGAGAGGUAAGGCUACACCCUGAUGUGCUUCUCAGGCAAUGCCUCCAAGGGGCAUGUUAACAGUCAGAUCUAGUUAGGAAAGAAAACAGGAAAAGGACCUGCAUUUUAACAGAAAUAAUUUAAUCUAGGCAAUUGAGUAAGCAGGUAUUAGAGGCUGAAAGGCAAAAAGGAAGUAUCAAGAUAAACACAGGGAUGGUAACUGCCAGAGGCAGCUCUACCUCUGGGGCUGAAGAACACAGGGAAGAUACUGGGGUUGCAAUAAUUUCAAAGCUUGGAAGAGGAGCCCUGCGGAGCUGGGACCUAGGCUUCUAAGGAGCGGCGACUGCACAGUAUCUGUGAGGCUGGAUUUGAGAGUCCAGAAAAUGUUGAAGACUGGAACCCAUUGCUAUUGAGGUAAACUGCCACUGCAAGGUGAAAAGUCAUUGUUGGGGUGAUGCUCACAGGGACAAGAAGCAGUCCCAGGAAGAGGCAAGUCCCUGCUCUGCCAAUUUGCCAUCCCUCCUUACUGACAGAGCCCCACAUGGAGCCAGCUGGCCACAGAGCAGUGUGGUUCGCCAAGUUCCAGCCCCAGAAUCACAGGGUAGAGUACAGACAGGUCCACCAGCAGGCACUGAACAAACACUUCAGCCCGCAUGCCCAAACUCUGUGUAAAGGCCGCUAAUAAGAGCCACCCCUUAGCUAUCCCUGAGGCCUCAGUGACCUCACCACAGACGGGACAGAUGGGAAGAGGUUCACACAGCCCUGGAAGAGGCUGGGACAUUUGAGCAGGGAAUUCUGGGCCCUGGGUUACGAACCAUGCACCAAAAGGAGGACUGGCCCUGGGUGGCACACAGACAAGGCCCAUGAACUUCUUGUCCUAUGGGGCGGGGCCAGCCCCACCAAGACCAGGGCAGGGCACCUAAAACCACAGCCCAGGGUUGCACCCUGAGAGAAUAAAAGAGACUACCGGGGCAGAGCGGAUCCUAGAAGGGAGAGGCACUAUGGGGCCAGCCUCUUUCUGAAGCCCCACCCAGAGAAGCACCCUUUGCUGGAAAAGAAAACAGCAGAAGCCAAGGUAAAUAACAUCUUUGUGUGGCGUGUUGCAGCUGUCACAGCCGCCAGCAGACAGCCGACUCCCUCACCAGUAAACACCGCGGCUUAGGUGUUGCCCACCGGGCACCGGAAGGCGGCCCCCUUCUCGCUCUCCAGUGAAUGUUCCUAAAACAACUGCGGGGUCCAAGAGCACAGGGAGAACAGCGCCCCUGACGCAGGCUGCGCACCCGCCCGGAGGAGGCAGUGCGUCAGUCCUGAGGUCACCGCCACCCGCUCCCGGGGGACGGCCGCCUGGGCAGGUGAGGAGGCGACCACCUCCCAGACGCCUGCCGGAGCUGCGGCGCACCGACUCCCUGCUUCUCCGAGCGGCGAGCGCCACCUGGAGGCUCCCUCGAGAUCUGCAUUUAGGAGGCGACGGGUCCUUUCAUCGUUUUAUUCAUUAAACAUUUAUCGAGGCCUGGAGCGAUGGUUCAAGCCUGUAAUCCCAGCACUUUGGGAGACCGAGACGGGCGGAUCACUUGAGGUCAGGAGUUGGAGACCAGCCUGGCCAACAUGGCGAAACCCCAUCUCUACUAAAAAUACAAAAAUUAGCCGGGCACGGUGGCGCACACCUGUAAUCCCAGCUACUCAUGAUGAGGCUGAGGCACAAGAAUCGCUUGAACCCGAGAGGCGGAAGUUGCAGUGAGCGGAGAUGGAGCCACUGUGUGUUAGGCUCUGGCGACGUGGGGAGAAAUAAAGAUAAUGUCUUGUUUCCCAGGGCAUUAAUAGCGUGAUGGGGAAGACAGGCCAUCAACAAUGUGCAACACUAAGGGCUAGGAAAGAGGUGGAUACAAAGGAGGGAAUAAGGAAUGUGGUCAUUCCUUAAGGUGUUUAUUGGUGCCAGGUACUGUUCAAGGCACCAAAAAGAAUGGAACCAAACAGAGAUCCUGCUCCCAAAGAGCUCAUAGUGGAAGGACAGCCAGACAAGCUUAGAAUUACGGGACAGGCCUAAGAAGGAGCCAGACUGGGGACCAGAGGCGUCCGAAGGGAAGUCCAGGAAGUACCGCAGGAAAACGUGAUAUAUAUUAAAUCUUAAAGAAUGGGCAGGAUUUUGCCAGGCUUAGUGACAAGAUAUCUUCCGUAAAAUCGUGGAACUGAAAAGAAAGGAUAUAGGUUGAAGAAGGGCUAGUUCUGUGUCUGAAAUAGAAGGAACAUGAAAGAGAAGUGCUGGGACAUGGGGCAAAAAAGGGAGUUUGGGGCCAGAUCGUGAAAGCCUUGGUUUAACAGGUGAAAAGUUCAAAUUUGAUCCAGGUAGCUGGCAGAGUCAGAGGUUCUAAAGCAGAGACCUGCUCUAUAGAAAGCUCACCAUGAAGUACAGCAGUGAUGGUGGAUGAAGAUACCAACAGCUCAACCUCCUAUGUGCCAGGGAAAUGCUGAGCGCUUAGCACCUGAUAUUUAUCUUAAUUCUCUAAAUGGGCCUAUGGGGUAAGCAUAUUAUUAUCCCAAUUUUAUUGGAAUACUUCCCUGGUAGGGCCCCUAAACAGGUAGCCAUCAAAUGCCUGAUAAAUUCCAGCUAGCUUUAAAUUCUAGUCGCUACAGAGCAGAGCCCUUCCAUCGCACUGAGCUGAAGGAGCCAGAUGGGCAUUACAGACAAGACCCACUCAGUAGGUGAAAUCAACAGAGCCUAAUGACUAUCUAGAUCUGCAAGAUGAAGAAUAGGAAAGAGCUAAAGACAAGAUUAUGAUGAAAAGUUUGAUUUUGAAAUAAUACAUUUUUAAGAGCUGAGAAAAACCGUAUCCAUCAUCCAGAACAACCGCCUAUUCUACCCACACUCCCAGCACCACAUCAGUACACGUGUGCCUGUACUCACCAUUCUGCCUUGCCUCCUGCUGGCAUGGACGAGUGCUGCGUGUUCCUAAGUGCCACCUUCCGCUGUGCACUCGAUCCCAUCCUCGCGCCCAC